rnacentral:misc_RNA from 1 species
AAGUCGUAACAAGGUCUCCGUUGGUGAACCAGCGGAGGGAUCAUUACUGAGUUUUUAACUCUUAAACCAUAUGUGAACAUACCUAUUAGCUGCUUUGGCAGGCUUGGUAACACAAGUCUGCCGGUAGUAUUUUAAAACUCUUUUUUUAUUCUAAAGAAUUAUUCAUUGCUGAGUGGCAUUAACAUAAUAAGUUAAAA